rnacentral:rRNA from 1 species
GAUGAACGCUGGCGGCGUGCCUAAUACAUGCAAGUCGAGCGAAUGGAUUAAGAGCUUGCUCUUAUGAAGUUAGCGGCGGACGGGUGAGUAACACGUGGGUAACCUGCCCAUAAGACUGGGAUAACUCCGGGAAACCGGGGCUAAUACCGGAUAACAUUUUGAACCGCAUGGUUCGAAAUUGAAAGGCGGCUUCGGCUGUCACUUAUGGAUGGACCCGCGUGGAAUUAGCUAGUUGGUGAGGUAACGGCUCACCAAGGCAACGAUGCGUAGCCGAACUGAGAGGGUGACCAGCCACACUGGGACUGAGACACUGCCCAGACUCCUACGGGAGGCAGCAGUAGGGAAUCUUCCGCAAUGGACGAAAGUCUGACGGAGCAACGCCGCGUGAGUGAUGAAGGCUUUCGGGUCGUAAAACUCUGUUGUUAGGGAAGAACAAGUGCUAGUUGAAUAAGCUGGCACCUUGACGGUACCUAACCAGAAAGCCACGGCUAACUACGUGCCAGCCGCCGCGGUAA